GAUGAACGCUGGCGGCGUGCCUAAUACAUGCAAGUCGAACGAAACUUCUUUAUCACCGAGUGCUUGCACUCACCGAUAAAGAGUUGAGUGGCGAACGGGUGAGUAACACGUGGGCAACCUGCCCAAAAGAGGGGGAUAACACUUGGAAACAGGUGCUAAUACCGCAUAACCAUAGUUACCGCAUGGUAACUAUGUAAAAGGUGGCUAUACUACCGCUUUUGGAUGGGCCCGCGGCGCAUUAGCUAGUUGGAAGGGUAAAGGCUUACCAAGGCAAUGAUGCGUAGCCGAAUUGAGAGGUUGAUCGGCCACAUUGGGACUGAGACACGGCCCAAACUCCUACGGGAGGCAGCAGUAGGGAAUCUUCCACAAUGGGCGAAAGCCUGAUGGAGCAACGCCGCGUGGGUGAAGAAGGUCUUCGGAUCGUAAAACCCUGUUGUUAGAGAAGAAAGUGCGUGAGAGUAACUGUUCACGUUUCGACGGUAUCUAACCGGAAAGCCACGGCUAACUACGUG
rnacentral:rRNA from 1 species